rnacentral:rRNA from 1 species
GACGAACGCUGGCGGCGUGCUUAACACAUGCAAGUCGAACGGAAAGGCCCUGCUUUCGUGGGGUGCUCGAGUGGCGAACGGGUGAGUAACACGUGAGUAACCUGCCCUUGACUUUGGGAUAACUUCAGGAAACUGGGGCUAAUACCGGAUAGGAGCUCCUGCUGCAUGGUGGGGGUUGGAAAGUUUCGGCGGUUGGGGAUGGACUCGCGGCUUAUCAGCUUGUUGGUGGGGUAGUGGCUUACCAAGGCUUUGACGGGUAGCCGGCCUGAGAGGGUGACCGGCCACAUUGGGACUGAGAUACGGCCCAGACUCCUACGGGAGGCGGCAGUGGGGAAAAUUGCACAAUGGGCGGAAGCCUGAUGCAGCAACGCCGCGUGCGGGAUGACGGCCUUCGGGUUGUAAACCGCUUUCGCCUGUGACGAAGCGUGAGUGACGGUAAUGGGUAAAGAAGCACCGGCUAACUACGUG